GGCUCAGUAGGUUGGUCGUGCCACCGGUACGUACUGGUCUCACUGAUUCCUCCUUCCUGAAGAACCGUAAUGCCAUUAAUUUGGUGUUGCGGGGAAACAGGACUGUUACUUUGAAAAAAUUAGAGUGUUUAAAGCAAGCUAACGCUUGAAUACAUUAGCAUGGAAUAAUGAAUUAGGACGAUCGAUCCUAUUUUGUUGGUUUCUAGGAUUGACGUA
rnacentral:rRNA from 1 species